rnacentral:lncRNA from 1 species
ACAACAAUUAAGAAAAAAUUGCAGAAAAUUGUAGAAAUCUAAGAGAAGAAGGGUUAACAAGGAAAAGAUCACAAAAAGAAAAACCUAAGAGAAAGCAUUACCGAAUCCGGGAAACGAAUUGAGUUCGCGACUGAAUCGUGGAUGGAGGAGUGAAUCGUGGAUGGAGGAGUGAACCUGACCUCUAAAAAACAUAACAAAGAAUCUUAAAAACAAAACACGUUUUUCACAGAGAUUCAGAAGUAACUAGUUAAAAAACAGAGAGUGGCAAAUAAGAGUAAUAUAGGAAAACAAGCAUAAUAUUAAACUUACAUUAACUUCAAAUAAUAAUAAUAAUAGGACAACAAGCAUAAUAACACAUUAAUAUCACAUCCAACUAAGCCUUAAAUUACUUGAACAUUGGAUUAUUAGACACUUAUACCUAGACACUUAACAGUAGUAUACAACUUAAUUUCAACCUCUCAUUUGACUUACACGCUUUGAUCCUCACACUAAGUACACUAUAAAUUAGUUUAUGGUAUCCAACAUAUUACUACUACUAGUACUCCAAUUCUAAUCACGACACACCAGAUCCCUAAACUACUAAAAUACAAGCACACCUACAAACAAACAAAACACAACCAAACUACCAGCAGGAAAAACCAAGCAAUAAGACACCCAUGAUCAACACCUUUGAUUCAUAACCAAUAUAAAAAAAUAAACACCUUUGAUUCAUGUAGCCUAACCUUCAUAACCAAUAUAUAUAUACUCCACACCAAACCCUCACAAAUAUAGUCCACAUAAAAUAUGUGAAGCAUAAAAGAAAUUCACUUGAGUAUUGGACUAUGAUUGUGGCUAUGAAUCAGACCAACAUCAACUCCACACCAGACCCUCACAAUUAUGUCAUUCGUACAAUACAAGAAAAUAUCAAUUGUAUAUCAUGUAAAUUACCUUGCCUGCAUGAUUAUGUCAAUCAUAAAAAAAUCAUUCAAUCAUACAGUCAUACAGUGUCUCACGAUGUAAAAUAUUGGUUUCAAACAAGUUAUUUUUUUUAAGUUAAAUCAAACAAAUUUUUAUAAUCAUAAACAGAGAGGUGAAUUUCUAACUUAUUUCAAACAAGUACUUACAUCAACUGUUUAGCAAGAAUAGAACUUUAAAUCUUUCUCCUUCCGAUUAGAUUUGUACCUACUGUCUUUCUUUCAACUCUAAAUAAAGAAAACAGGCAAAAAUGUCAUAAAAUGGAGAAUAGAGGGAGCAAUGGAGUAAACUGGUUAAUAUUGCAUAAGCAGAAAACAAAUUAAUAAGGGAACAAGUUAAGCAAAAGAAUGGACAUACCAUAUAGACAACUUAUAGCUUUAUUUCGGCAGUUGUUCCUUUCAUUCCAUAGACUAAGACAUGAGCUUUGCUUAAUAUAAAACAACAGAAUCAACAAAGACAACUAAAAUCAGAACAUCAGAACAUAAAACUAAUGAGUGAUUCAGAAUACUAUGAGACACAACAUGUAAAUAAUCUUACAGUCAUACAAACCAUGUGUAGUUAAUUCCUCCUCGCCACCACCGCCCAUUCCCAACAGCAACCUGUUUCACGUUGUUAUCAAAAUUUUCACUUUUGAUUUCGAAAAUGCAAAAAUAUAAAUCAGACUUAAUUAGAUGGUCUUACUUUCAGCAUGGUAAUGAGUUUGGAGUUAGGGUUUUCGUGGAACUGACAAGAGUGAUUGAAGAAAUGGGUGUGAAAUUAAAUGGGAAAAACACCAAAUUGAAGGGGGGAAACACCAAACUGAAGGGGAAAAGAGGAUUAGGAUCAAGGAAAAAGAGAGUUACAUACCUUGAUUGAAGGCAAACGCAGACGAGCAAGAUCUCCAACUACGUGAUUGAAGACUAAGUGAUGGCCGCCGACAGUGGUGACUGUGUUGAGACGAGAUCUGAGAGAGACAGUGGUGCGGUGGUGACUGUCGUUAGGGUUCUUUCAUCUUGUGUGUUUUCUUUCUCUGCUUUUGAUAAUUGUUUGUUG